rnacentral:misc_RNA from 1 species
GAUGAAGAACGUAGCGAAAUGCGAUACGUAAUGUGAAUUGCAUAUUCAGUGAAUCAUCGAGUCUUUGAACGCACAUUGCGCCCCCUGGUAUUCCGGGGGGCAUGCCUGUCCGAGCGUCAUUGCUGCCCUCAAGCACGGCUUGUGUGUUGGGCCCCGUCCUCCGAUCCCGGGGGACGGGCCCGAAAGGCAGCGGCGGCACCGCGUCCGGUCCUCGAGCGUAUGGGGCUUUGUCACCCGCUCUGUAGGCCCGGCCGGCGCUUGCCGAUCAACCCAAAUUUUUAUCCAGGUUGACCUCGGAUCAGGUAGGGAUACCCGCUGAACUUAAGCAUAUCAAUAAGCGGAGGA